AUGGAUCCACCUGGGGUCGCCCUCUCUGGAACCAGUGUUGCCGACGGCUCAUCCGGGGUGCUGGAUCUUGGUGAUGUGCUGGAACAACUCAACUUGGAAGACGAAGAAUUUGAUGAUCUGGUAAUAGAUGAACCCGAUCCAAAGAUCACUGAAAGUGUGAGGUGGCUUGCGCUGGCUAGGGCUUGCACGGGCAAGAACUUCAGCCAGCCGGCCUUCUACAAGGAUAUGCGUGCAGCAUGGAAUCCGGCGCAGCCGGUGAGGUUUCGCCCGGUAGGUCCGAAGCUCUUUGUCGUGCAGGUGUCAUGUUUGGGAGACUGGGAA
rnacentral:rRNA from 1 species